GGCGAUGUAGCUCAGCCUGGUAGAGCGGCGGAUUCAUAACCCGCAGGUCGAGAGUUCAAAUCUCCCCAUCGCCA
rnacentral:tRNA from 1 species